GGGCCCGCACAAGCGGUGGAGCAUGUGGUUUAAUUCGACGCAACGCGAAGAACCUUACCUGGCCUUGACAUCCAGAGAACUUUCCAGAGAUGGAUUGGUGCCUUCGGGAACUCUGAGACAGGUGCUGCAUGGCCGUCGUCAGCUCGUGUCGUGAGAUGUUGGGUUAAGUCCCGUAACGAGCGCAACCCCUAUCCCUGGUUGCUAGCAGGUAAUGCUGAGAACUCCAGGGAGACUGCCGGUGACAAACCGGAGGAAGGUGGGGAUGACGUCAGGUCAUCAUGGCCCUUACGGCCAGGGCUACACACGUGCUACAAUGGCGCGUACAGAGGGCUGCCAACUCGCGAGAGUGAGCCAAUCCCUUAAAACGCGUCGUAGUCCGGAUCGGAGUCUGCAACUCGACUCCGUGAAGUCGGAAUCGCUAGUAAUCG
rnacentral:rRNA from 1 species